GUGCCAGCAGCCGCGGUAAUACGGGGGGGGCAAGCGUUGUUCGGAAUUACUGGGCGUAAAGGGUGCGUAGGCGGUCCGCUAAGUUGGAUGUGAAAACUCUGGGCUUAACCCAGAGCCUGCAUUCAAAACUGACGGGCUAGAGUUCUGGAGGGGGUAGCGGAAUUCCUGGUGUAGCGGUGAAAUGCGUAGAUAUCAGGAGGAACACCGGUGGCGAAGGCGGCUACCUGGACAGAAACUGACGCUGAGUGCACGAAAGCUAGGGGAGCAAACAGGAUUAGAUACCCAUGUAGUCC
rnacentral:rRNA from 1 species